AGAUCAUGAAGAUCUAAGGACAGUGUGUCAUAUCACAGGGGGAGGUUAUGGACAACAGUAGCACGGUCUGCUGUCCUGGUACCAAGAAGGACUCAUCAAAUACUACCUGGGAGACAUGGCCUUGAAAGCAUAACCUGUGAACAUAAUCCGUCUGAGACAGCACUGAACUCCAGAGAUUGGGCCUGCUUCAGCAUACACUGAAUUUACAUUUAUCAUGAAUCCAGCUAGCUUUCUUGGUAUGAAAGUAAGAUUCAUUGGUCUGUACUUUUUUGGUAGUUCCUGAAAUUCUCAUAGAUAGAGAUAUCAUUAGUGUUUCAACAA